rnacentral:rRNA from 1 species
UAGGGAAUCUUCCACAAUGGGCGCAAGUCUGACCGAGCAACGCCGCGUGAGUGAAGAAGGUUUUCGGAUCGUAAAACUCUGUUGGUAGAGAAGAACGUUGGUGAGAGUGGAAAGCUCAUCAAGUGACGGUAACUACCCAGAAAGGGACGGCUAACUACGUGCCAG